GGUAGACUCAUACCUUAGAGUAUCAAGGGCACUCUUAAGAACCUUUAACUUUACGGGUAAGUUAGUACCUUAGAGUAUCAAGGAACUCUUAAAAGCCUAGAAAUCUUUCAAGGUAGAUUCGACCUAAGAGUUUUCUCGGAAACUCUAUAAAACCAAACUAGAGCUUUAUGGUUGAGCUCAAAAACCUUCUCUCACACUUUGGUACUAUUGAGACAACCCUCUCAACCAAAGUGGACACACACAAGAGGUGAUUAGAGGAGUGGAAUAUUAAAGCAAACAACACUUCUUACUUGUAAAAAUGAACAAGAAGAUUAAAAGAAGUUGAAGAGCUUUUGAAGCUUUGGAAAACUAAGACACUUGAGCACUUGGAAGCUUGGAGACAAAAACGUUGGAGAGCUCAAAUGUGGAGUGAAAAACUCUUGGAUUUGCUUGUU
rnacentral:lncRNA from 1 species